CCGAAUAUCAUGAGCACAAUGGAAGUCAAAUAAAAUCUUCACUUUUCUUAAUAAUAGUUGAGGUGACAAGACCAUUGGUGAUCUCACAACUUGUUCUUCCUGCCUGAGGCUUUGUACCCACUAAUCAACAACUGCCCAUUUCCUCGACCCAGUCUCAGGGUUGCUCAUGGAAGUUCAUACAGGUGACAAAAAUUUCAACUGGACAAAUUAAACAAGCAAAACUAUUGCAGUAAUGGCACCAGAUUGCAUU